rnacentral:lncRNA from 1 species
AUGUAUUUCAGUGAAGCUGACAACCCUUACGUUAUUGCCUUAAGAGCCACAGAAGUAGUAUUCAAUGUCUUGAAAGAGACCACUUUAGUAUAUCUCACUGAAAUGCUUGCAAAUAUAGCUUACAGAGUAAGGUGAAAUAUACCUUUACUGAAGACAGAAGGGCUAUGAUUUCAUUUAAAAUUCUUUUGAAGAUGAUUUUUAUUGCUCGGUAGGACAUCCUGCAGUAGUCUGAGGAAAAUAUUCUUUCACUUAGAGAAAGGGUGAACUUCAGAUUCCAUCUUCUUUAUUUUUCAAGUCUGUAAGUUCCAAAGAUGCUUCGCUUGUAUUAAACUUGUUUGUGUCAAACCCUAUCUCUUUUAAGAAUACGCUGACAAAGGUUUUUGCAAACUUCUGUUUCUUCCAUCUUCCUAUGUUUUAAUUUCAGAUUCAGACCUUAAUCUCCUUAUGGAACACUCGAGCAUUUUCCGUUUGCUCAUGGACCUUCAUUCCUCAGAUAGCUUUAAGGAUUCCACAAAAUCAAAUGGUGAAGGUUGAAGCAGUCUUUUGAUGUUUCCAUGUUAAGUAUCUGUUGUAUGUGUGGAUGCUGACAUUUUAUCUUGCUCGUGGAGAACUUUGUAUUGCAAACUUGAUUUGUUAUCUAGCUGUGAUACAGUAGGUGCAAUUUGGUCUCUGUUACCUUUGGCAACACAGCCUUUCUGAAUAGGUGUGGGGGUUUACCUCAGAGAAAAUAUCUUAGUACCUGUAUGUUGAAACUUUUCUUUCCCAACAGGAAACUAACUUUAACGCACAGAGCAUGCCUGUGGGAGUCUGUUUUCUUUUUGCUUUAAUUAGUACAUUUUUGUUAAGUGUAAUCUGUUAAGGGGGCUUUUUUGUUGAUUGGUUGCAGUCUGUAUUGUGAAGCUGCAUGGAAACUGUGUCCAAAGACUUCUGGAAGGUUGCAUCUGUCUUUAAAAUUUUGAUCAAUUGAGGAAAAAGCCUAGUUUUCUCUCGCUAAUUAUUUUGCGUUUGGAAAGAUGUUUUCCUACGCAGAUUAGGAACACCUUUCUGUUUAUGCAGGGUGAUUGGCUCAUUGCUAAUGACGACAGCUACUCUGAGCUUCCCCUCCACCUUCCGUCCUCCAGAUAUUUGGAGUGUG